rnacentral:rRNA from 1 species
AACAGGUGGAGCCUGCGGUUUAAUCGGACUCGAACGCCGGGAAACUCACCAGAUAAGACAGCUGAAUGAUAGUCGGGCUGAAGACUCUACUUGACUAGCUGAGGGGAGGUGCAUGGCCGUCGUCAGUUCGUACUGUGAAGCAUCCUGUUAAGUCAGGCAACGAGCGAGACCCACGCCAACAGUUGCCAGCUCGUCCUCCGGGAUGGUGGGGACACUGUUGGGACCGCCUCUGCUAAAGAGGAGGAAGGAAUGGGCAACGGUAGGUCAGCAUGCCCCGAAUUAUCUGGGCUACACGCGGGCUACAAUGGGUGGGACAAUGGGUAUCGACACCGAAAGGUGAAGGCAAUCUCCUAAACCCAUCCGUAGUUCGGAUUGUGGGCUGCAACUCGCCCACAUGAAGCUGGAAUCUGUAGUAAUCGUGUCUCAAAAUGGCACGGUGAAUAUGUCCCUGCUCCUU